rnacentral:rRNA from 1 species
GAUGAACGCUGGCUGCAGGCUUAACACAUGCAAGUCGAGGGGAGACGCCGGGGAAGCUUGCUUCCCCGGGCGUCGACCGGCGCACGGGUGAGUAACGCGUAUCCAACCUGCCUCUGACUGAGGGAUAACCCGUCGAAAGUCGGCCUAAUACCUCAUGGCAUCGUCUGCGUGCAUCCAACGACGAUUAAAGAUUUCAUCGGUCAGAGAUGGGCUGCGUCUGAUUAGCUUGUUGGCGGGGUCACGGCCCACCAAGGCGACGAUCAGUAGGGGUUCUGAGAGGAAGGUCCCCGACAUUGGAACUGAGACACGGUCCACACUCACACGGGAGGCAGCAGUGCGGAAUAUUGGUGAAUGGGAGAGAGCCUGAACCAGCCAAGUAGCGUGCAGGAUGACGGCCCUAUGGGUUGUAAACUGCUUUUAGGCGGGGAUAAAGUGAGGGACGUGUCCUUAAUUGCAGGUACCGGAUGAAUAAGGACCGGCUAAUUACGUG